AACUCACCAAAUAGAAGAUCAAACUUAAAUUCCACUUGGAUAUUGGCCAGCUUUCUAUUCAAAUCUAAAUGUUGAACUUCCACUGCCAAUAUUUUUUUCUUGAACCAUUGAAUUGCUUCCAAAAUAUACUUAAAUUGUGAAAAAUCAAAUCUAGUCUCUACAUAAAAAAAGUUUCACUUCAAUCCAAUUAAUAGAUUGCUAAAGAUCUUUAAAAUACUUCCUAUUCUUCAAAUUUCAAUUUUUGAGACCUCAAGCUACAAAAACCUUUACAAACUUUGAUUUAAUUGUUUGAUUGACUUUAAAUUUGCACACAUAUUAAUAACUAAAACACCAACACAAUACCCAAAAUUCAUCCAUACACACACCACAUAACUCAAGAAACCUUCAAUUUUGGAAAAAAAAAUAUAUUUUUUAUAAUCUAAUCCAACCAAGAAUAUCUCUAAUUUUGAAAAUCUUCCAAAAAUUGAUUAUUGACUUCAUUGAAAUAAAACCAAUGCUUA
rnacentral:lncRNA from 1 species